AGGACGAACGCUGGCGGCGUGCUUAACACAUGCAAGUCGAGCGGAAAGGCCCUUCGGGGUACUCGAGCGGCGAACGGGUGAGUAACACGUGAGCAACCUGCCCUUAGCUCUGGGAUAGCUCCGGGAAACCGGAAUUAAUACCGGAUACGACCUAGGCCGACAUCGGCCAUGGUGGAAAGUUUUUCGGCUAGGGAUGGACUCGCGGCCUAUCAGCUAGUUGGUGGGGUAAAGGCCUACCAAGGCGACGACGGGUAGCCGGCCUGAGAGGGCGACCGGCCGACACUGGGACUGAGACACGGCCCAGACUCCUACGGGAGGCAGCAGUGGGGAAUCUUGCGCAAUGGGCGAAAGCCUGACGCAGCGACGCCGCGUGGGGGAUGAAGGCCUUCGGGUUGUAACCCCUUUCAGCAGGGACGAAGCGAAAGUGACGGUACCUGCAGAAGAAGCGCCGGCUAACUACGCGCCAGCAGCCGC
rnacentral:rRNA from 1 species